GUGCCAGCAGCCGCGGUAAGACGAGGGAUCCUAGCGUUGUUCGGAAUCAUUGGGCGUAAAGCGGGUGUAGGUGGCUUGGUAAGUCGGGUGUGAAAGCCCAGGGCUCAACCCUGGAAGUGCAUUCGAUACUGCGAAGCUUGAGUGUUGGAGAGGUUAUCGGAAUACCUGGUGUAGUGGUGAAAUACGUAGAUAUCAGGUGGAACACCGGAGGCGAAGGCGGGUAACUGGCCAAACACUGACACUGAGACCCGAAAGUGUGGGGAUCAAACAGGAUUAGAUACCCUGGUAGUCCACACCGUAAACGAUGGAUACUUGCUGUUGGAGGUAUUGACCCCUUCAGUGGCGAAGCUAACGCGUUAAGUAUCCCGCCUGGGGAGUACGGUCGCAAGAUUAAAACUUAAAUAAAUUGGCGG
rnacentral:rRNA from 1 species